GACAGCAUAAGUCUAAGGUCACAGAGCUUAGAUGCAACACAAGGUCUCUGAUUUUAAAGCACUUUUUCUUUCCCCCACUACCCCCAUACAGAACUCCAGGUCCAGGUGGGCUUUUUCCAUGGAGCCUGAGACUUAUGAUGCCAGGUGCCUGGACAAAGCUUCCAGGUCACUCCUAAGCAACACAACCUUAGCCCCUAUGGAGCUAGUGCCAGCUGUGUGAAGCUGUACAGUGGUGCAGCGUUAAGGGCAAAGAGCACUGUGGAGCCAAGGCAGACAAAGCUGCACAGAGCUCUCAGGCCUGGAUGAUGAUCCCUGUUCCCAGACAUCUGUGGAGUUGCCAUGUUGAUGUUCUCUCAUUGUUUCUGCUGAGCUGGAAUGAUCGAAAUAAUUCUGGGACUAUGUAUGAC
rnacentral:lncRNA from 1 species